AACGAACGCUGGCGGCAUGCCUAACACAUGCAAGUCGAACGAGAUCUUCGGGUCUAGUGGCGCACGGGUGCGUAACGCGUGGGAAUCUGCCCUUUGGUUCGGAAUAACAGUUGGAAACGACUGCUAAUACCGGAUGAUGACGAAAGUCCAAAGAUUUAUCGCCAGAGGAUGAGCCCGCGUAGGAUUAGCUAGUUGGUGUGGUAAAGGCGCACCAAGGCGACGAUCCUUAGCUGGUCUGAGAGGAUGAUCAGCCACACUGGGACUGAGACACGGCCCAGACUCCUACGGGAGGCAGCAGUGGGGAAUAUUGGGCAAUGGGCGAAAGCCUGAUCCAGCAAUGCCGCGUGAGUGAUGAAGGCCUUAGGGUUGUAAAGCUCUUUUACCCGGGAUGAUAAUGACAGUACCGGGAGAAUAAGCUCCGGUUAACUCCGUGCCAGCCGCCGCAGUAA
rnacentral:rRNA from 1 species